ensembl:rRNA 5S_rRNA 5S ribosomal RNA
GUCUAUGGCCAUACCACCCUGAACACGCCCGAUCCCGUCUGAUCUCGGAAGCUAAGCAGAGUUGGACCUGGUUAGUACUUGGAUGGGAAGAAUGCUUAAGGCAAUAGAGA